rnacentral:rRNA from 1 species
AUGCAUGAGUUGGAGAGGAAGUUGUGCGUUGUUGGAUUAUGGUGCAUUCAGAUGAAGUCCCAUGACAGGCCAACAAUGAGCGAAGUCAUAGAGAUGCUCGAAGGUGGCUUGGAUGGCCUGCAAAUGCCUUCCAGGCCAUUCUUCUGCGACGAUGAGUACACCACUGUUCUGGAUUCUUACCCUUUGUUAUUCGAGAUGACCGAGAUCUUGGAGGAGGAUGAGGUCUCAGAUUCUUAUGUGUCCCGUGUCCUGUGA